UUUAUGCAAAAACGCUGAUAAACUCGAUUAAUUUGAGUUGUCCUAACUUAGAAAAACUAAGUAAGCUGGAAGUUUUGCUUCUCUGGGCGGAAGGAUGAAAGAUGUGUUUUGAAAAUGCCACGUGACUACCGUCCUCCUCCCUCGCGGAUCAGUCCGCAUGUUCACGGUGCCAGCAUUUGUUAUGGAAUAUGUUGAGCAAACCCGGAGAAGCGUCAGCUCAAGAGACUAUUGUUGUCAUUGCUGUGGAUCUUUACCUGAUACACUGACUUGACUUGAGAUAUGACUGCACUAUGCUGUUGCUGUGACUCCAGUUAAUUCUACAAGACAUGCUGUGACAACAGGAGAGAUGAGUCCUCCAUCACAGAUGGUGUGGUCAGUGAAGAUGGUCACCUGCAGGUUCAAGCUCAUUGCAUCUCCAACCCACAUCCACUGCCACUGUACUUAAGGGAAGUUAAAGACUUUCUUCUGCACCUACAUUUGGAUCACCUCGAUCCGUGAUAGUCAUUCAGGCAGUAACGCCUGGACUGGAAACAAGCCAUCCUUAAAAUAUUACAACAU